CUACGCAGAUUCCAGGGCCUUAUUCCCAACAUACUGAAUCAGAAACUGGGGAGUGGGGCCCAGCCAAUCCGAUCCGAAGGAAGCUCAUGUUUGAGAAACACCGGCUUAGUGUAAGGGGCUGCCGAUUGGUAUAAAAUGUCACCUGAGGUCUAUUUUGUCUCCGGGAGAGGUAGCUCUCGUACCUCUUAAGGAAAAUGAAGGUUUAUGGGCUAGUUAGUGGUUCUUAACUACAAGGUUGCAGCAGCUGGCUUCAGUUGACUCCAAAAUGGCCCUUUAAAUAAAUACAAAGCAAAGGACAAAGAUUAAAUUAUAUUAGCAGCCUAGGAGCAGAAGGGCCAGACUGCUUUAAAAAAACCAGCUAGAGAUUUUAUUAAUAUUUAAAUUGCAGUGAAACCACAGCUGCAGCCUUUGACUCCAGUGUGGAGAUAUGCAAAUGGGGCUUUCUAAAGAAAGGCAAUUUCAGACAGCCCUCAAGGUAACAAGAACAAAUAAAACAAAUGAUUUUGUAAUUUAUCUUUAUUGACUGAUGGAGAGCAAGGUGAACAGACAACCCUUACCUAGUGAGAGCCAGCCACCAGUGUGCUCUCGCUCUCGGAGGGGAGAAGAGACAGCUGGCCUGGAGGGAGAAAGCAGGCAAGACCCGUCAAGGGGGAUAGGAAAGACCCAAAGAGGACAAAGCAGAAGGAGGCAGAUGGGAGAAGAUGAUUAAAUUGAAAGGGAAGAAAAAUGGAAACCCAGCCCUGGCUUCUGGGGACCAUCUGAUCUUGCCAGGUCUCGGGGGCAACGGCAAUAAUAAUCAUUAAUGACUAUCAUUUGCCACAUUCCUACGAAGUGCCAUGCGCUAUUUCCAACAUACGAAUGAGGAAAAUGACACUUUGAGAGGUCAAGCAACUUGCCCCAGGGUCACACAACAAAAGGAGGUGGCAAAGCCUUGAUGCAGACAUAGAUUUGUGUGAGGCUAAACUGUGCAGGGAACCAGCCUUAGGAGUUGGUGAGUGACAAUAAGGUUAAUGAUUGAGGGGAGACUAUGAACCCAGUUCUGUGAUAGCUUCUAUAUGUGUGGUUGUGGAAGGGAGGGGAGAAGAGAUCCAUUUCUGGCCUUCAUAUUGCUUACUAUUCAAUGGGUAAGGCAAGAAAGCCACAGAAAACCCUUGCAGAAUUGGCCUUCUGGUUCAGAAGCCCCCUGGGGGCUGUGUGGCAGGACCUCCGCUUGAAGCAUCUCAAGCUGACCCCUGGAGCUUGGGUAGGAUUUGACCUGGUGAAAAAGAAGCCAGGAGAUUGCAGAAGGCCUGGAUAAGAACCCCCCCAGCCGGCAGAACUAAGACUAGGGGAAAGGAGCACACGAUCCACAAAGAGGAGUUGGGAAAGUCUUCUGAGGAUACAUUUCCCUGACCCAUGUGGUCUUCCUACACCAUCCACCCCAAGCUGAAACCCAACCUCUCCAGAACCUCACCUGCUGCUCCCUCUCAGGCACCCUGGCCACCAAACAUGGGGACCCACAGGUUCCACCCACAUUGUAACUUGACCUCGGUGAGUUCUGUUCUUCCAUCUCCACAGGCCCAAUCCUGUCCAUCCCAGCUUUUCCACAGAACCUUCACCAGCCUUCCAGCCCAGAAUCUCUCCUCCUACAGAAUACCUCAGAAGUUUGUUUUAUUUAUGACACUUUCUUCCAUCACCUUUGAAUCCAGAGCAUAAGAAACCCCCUUCAAGAGGCCUUUCCUGAUUCCCUUGGGCCCGGAUCAGAAGCAGUCAGGCCUGGAUGUCUAAGCUGUAAGGAAUAAAGGUUCACUUAUAAAGGGUC